CUCACAUGGAGGGCCGAGCGGUCUAAGGCGCUGCGUUCAGGUCGCAGUCUAUUCUUGUAGGCCUGGGUUCGAAACCCACUUCUGACA